rnacentral:misc_RNA from 1 species
UUAAGUUCAGCGGGUCUUCCUACCUGAUCCGAGGUCAACCUAAGAUGUGCGCAAAGGCGCAGGUUUGACAGCUGCCUGAGGCCGGUCCCUGGCGAGUUAAUUUCUACUACGCUAGAACGCCGUUCUCUCGGCCGCUGAUGACUUUGAGGCCCGCCCGCGUGGGGACGGAGGCCCAAUACCAAGCAGAGCUUGACGGUUGU